CAUCAACCCUAUUCCAGAUGGCUGGCCAAUCCCUGCACUCCCCGCUCCGAGCUCUGGGAGACAGCCUGAGCAGCAAAGCUGGUGCUUGCUCAAGGGAGCAAUCCCUGCCUGAGUCUUCAUCGGAGUGGCAUCCUUCUUGAUCCCGAAGAGUUUGUCUUCCUCUUACUUUGCAAGGAAACACAUGGUAUUGGAGGAUCUCACAUGGAGAUUGUGGCUGAGCUGGAAAAGGGAAGAACAUUCUCUAGAGACAGUUCCAUGCCAUACAGACCUUUGUCCCCUGUUUUGAAGAGGAUUCAGUGUUUCCAAUUCUGUGAGGUACUGCUGUGUGGGUGAGAUACAGGCAUGGGGCUGCUGUCCUUGCUGUCGGAGACUGUGCAUGUCCCUUGUGGGCUCCCAUUGUCCCUACAUUCUGCUCUGGGUCAAUGCAGGUGAGAUGUCUGGAACUAUGUAUUCCCCCUUCCUCUUGGUCUGGCAGAGGCAGGCAAAGAGAGGUGCGGGUGAGAUUUGGGAGGUGGAGGAGAAAGGGAACACAUGCGUCCUUGGUGGUAGGUGAUGAUAGCUUAUGAGGGUCAGCUGCUUGGUGCUGUGGGCUGCUGAGAUAAUUUCUGGUGGCCUCUUUGCUCCCCAACUGUGCAGCCAUCAUGGAUGCCUCUAACUCUCCCUGUGAAAACCAUUUCCACGACUAAGUGGGAUACCUUGAGGGGAUGCAGCCUGAUAAGAGCUGGAUUCUCAUUGUUUCUCUUUGAUCCGAGGCUUUGCACUAAAGCCCAUUUUGUGUCUGAGUUGAGAAGACAGCGAAUCAAGAAAUCCUGCUCCAGCCUGCUCCAUCUUAUUUCUAGGGAAGCAUUCCUGUACUCCCCAAGGAGGGCACUGCACCCAGAAUCUAAGACAUGGAGCUCUUUUUGCAGCUUGGCUUCCCCAACGUCCAAGCGGGAGAUGAAGGGGAUGGGAACUUUCAAAGGUUUCUAGAUCAUCUGCAAGUGACUUUGAUUUGGAAGAGCUGGGAGACCACUGCCCGAGGCCAUGCACCCCUGACUCAAGUCUCAACUCAACCCUUGGUGCCAGUUCCAAUUACAGGGGCACAGGGCUGCAAGGGGUAAUGGCUGCCAAGGGUAGUGGGGAGGCAAUAAGGAUGUGGGUUAUAUAAAUCUUGCCAGUGAGAGGCUUUGGACAGUAAUGUAGGCCUCUGUGAUUCUUCCUUUGGGCAGUUCUCUGCCUUUAUAGCCACAUCUCUCUUGGCAAGGGAGUGGGGGUGCCUUUUACUUUGGAACUAGACCACUUUUCUCUACUGCCUACUCCCUCUCUCUGUUUCUGCUUUAUCCUUAUUAGUAACCUCGUAAAACAACACAGCCCAAAGGACUUAAGUAUAGUUUGAGCUCAGACUUGUCCUUCCGGUCGUGGUUGAAUGCCAUCAUCUCUGAGCUACCUUCAUGGCCUACCUAAGCCAGGUUAGGCACUCCGGCAGUGAGCUGGGUCGGCAUUACAUACCAACCCUUCUGUAAAAUUUUGCAUGUCAACCUCGCAAUCACUUGUUGAGUUGUUUAUCUCCCCUACCAAACCACAGGCCCUGUGAGGUCAGUGAUCCACUUCUAGACACAUAACCAUGGGUGGGGCCCUAGAUCACAGUCCCUUAGGCCAGGUCAGGCUACUUGUA
rnacentral:lncRNA from 1 species